rnacentral:rRNA from 1 species
CAGCCGCCGCGGGAAUACGUAGGGCGCAAGCGUUAUCCGGAAUUAUUGGGCGUAAAGAGCUCGUAGGCGGUUUGUCGCGUCUGCCGUGAAAGUCCGGGGCUCAACCCCGGAUCUGCGGUGGGUACGGGCAGACUAGAGUGAUGUAGGGGAGACUGGAAUUCCUGGUGUAGCGGUGAAAUGCGCAGAUAUCAGGAGGAACACCGAUGGCGAAGGCAGGUCUCUGGGCAUUAACUGACGCUGAGGAGCGAAAGCAUGGGGAGCGAACAGGAUUAGAUACCCCCGUAGUCCCUGUCUCUUAUAC